AAGCUAUACUUUCAGGGAUCAUUUCUAUAGUAACCAACUAGAGAAAUGCACUCAAACACUGGAAGCUUUCAAGAAGAGAUUGGACUGCCAUUUGUCAGAAAUGUUGUCGAGUCUCCUGCUUUGGCAGGGAGUUAGGCUAGAUGACCUACAAGGUCCCUUCCAACUCUGUUAAUCUAAAAGUGAUCUGA
rnacentral:snoRNA from 1 species